GUUGCUAUUAAGCCAUUGUCUUUUAUUGCACCAGAUGCAAAGGAAGAGGCUGUCCUUGGAGAUAUAUGGCUGGGAAAAAUCAAAAGCAGUGGAGGUUUACAAAACUCACAUGGUGACAGGAAUGGGGGGUCAAAAGAUGAUAUUGGAGACUUUGCUGAAGUGACAAGUGAGGGGAGUCCGAGUUCCUUAGGUAGGACUGAUGAAAUUGUUGAAUCUUUUAGAAAGGUUGCUGUUAAUGAUUCCUGUGAUGGUAGGGGGGCCGAGGUGACAGAUACAUCUAUAACUGAGGAAGUAUAUGCUUCAAAAGAAGGUGAACAGAAGCAUAAAACAGUAAUAGGUGGUGAUGGAUUGACGCAUGCAUUUAUGAAUAAAGAUGAUUCCAGCAUUUCCCAGGAGAUUGACCCCAUUAACAAUUUUGUAGAAUUGAAAGCUCUUGAUAAACAUCAAGUGGAGGAUUUGGCUAAUAUGAAGCAUCUAAAGUUGGAAGAUAUUGAGUCAGCUACUUCUUUUGAAAUUG
rnacentral:misc_RNA from 1 species